GAUCAUUUUUGUGCCAGUAGUUGGAUGAUGCCUUUUCAUUUGGAGGCUCCCUCACUGAAUAUGAUUUGGGAUUCCUGAAAGUUCUUCCCAGCCCACUGUAAUCUGAGCCAUGUGUCCUCUUAGUAAACCCCUUUCUGUUCAAACUAGCUGGAGCAUAUUCUGCAGUUUGUCACUGAGAACCUUGACCAGUACCAUGCAAAGCACAUGUUUCUAGGGAAACCAACCUUGGACUUUGCCAACUUGUCGACAGGCUUUGUGAUCCAAAAAAGGCUUCACAUCUCUGGCUCAAAGGAUGGGAAAUGGAGGAAGAGCCUGAAAGGGAACAGUAAGAUCUAUGAGGGAGGCGCUGGCCAGGCCAUUCUGAGAAGAGUUGUUAUUUGUGAUCCAGGACUCAGGAUGGGAGCAGGGUACAGCUGGAGAGGUUUCUUCACUGGGCAAAGGGCAAUACUCUCUGGAAGCAAAAGAAUGAAAGUCUUUACAGG
rnacentral:lncRNA from 1 species